CGCGAGGUAGAGCAGUAGGUAGCUCGUCGGGCUCAUAACCCAAAGGUCAUAGGUUCAAGUCCUGUCCCCGCUACCA
rnacentral:tRNA from 1 species